rnacentral:rRNA from 1 species
GACGAACGCUGGCGGCGUGCUUAACACAUGCAAGUCGAGCGGAGCGGCGAACGGGUGGGUAACGCGUGAGUAACUGCCCCCCUCUCUGGGUUCCCAGUUGGAAACGGCUGCUAAUACCGGAUAGUGGGGGAUGACUCGCGUCCUAUCGGCUUGUUGGUGGGGUAGUGGUCUACCAAGGGGACGACGGGUAGCCGGCCUGAGAGGGGGAGCGGCCACACAGGGCCGAGGGACGGCAGCAAGUGCGACGGUUGGGAGAUGUGGGGAAGAAUGCACAAUAGGGGAAACCCUGAGGCAGCAACGCCGGUGCGGGAAGCCGGCCUGUGGGUGGUAAACCGCGUUCAGCCAUGACGCGGUAGUUGCAGAAGAAGCAACGGCUAACUACGUGCCAGCAGCCGCGGUAAUUC